rnacentral:rRNA from 1 species
UACGUAGGGGGCAAGCGUUGUUCGGAAUUACUGGGCGUAAAGGGCGCGUAGGCGGCAUGGCAAGUCAGGAGUGAAAGGCCUGGGCUCAACCGAGGAACUGCUUUUGAUACUGCCAAGCUAGAGUGCGGAAGGGGCAACUGGAAUUCCCAGUGUAGCGGUGAAAUGCGUAGAUAUCUGGAGGAAUACCGGUGGCGAAGGCGGCAUCCUGGACCGACAUUGACGCUGAUGAGCGAAAGCUAGGGGAGCAAACGGG